AUUCCCAAAUCUGCCUCCAAAGGGGCGAAACAUGUGUUUCUGUGCUCAAGCCAUUAAGAGAUACAAACCCUAGGGCAUGCAAGUCCUUAAAUAGAUCAAAAAUUGGCCUAUAAGACUAAGUCGUUGGUGCUCAGCGCCCCUACUUAGGGCAAGGAUGCGCCCAUGCGAGAGAAGUGGCGGUCAGGCCCCCUUAGAGGGCAAACAGGUGUGGUGCGGGUCCUUCUACUGGCGCUAAGCACCACUGGAGUGGCGAUCAUGGCCCCUGGACCAGGGCCCUCAGCCUGACUAGCUGACUCUUAGGGCCCUUGAUCUAGGGCACUCAACCUUAUUUUUCUGCACUGCAUCGUUUUCUCUUUUUCUGUAGAUCUGCCUUCUUCUUGAAUUCCAACUCCUUGAUCCUUUU
rnacentral:lncRNA from 1 species